CCGUCUAUCACCUGAAGUAGGCUGGACAGACUCCAGCCCCCCAAGACCCCGUGUGCAGGAUGAGCGGUGUGAAGAUGGAUGGAUGGAUGGAUGGAUGGAUGAAUGGAUGGAUGAAUGGAUGGAUGGAUGGAUGAAUGGAUGGAUGAAUGGAUGAAUGGAUGGAUGAAUGGAUGGAUGGAUGGAUGAAUGGAUGGAUGAAUGGAUGAAUGGAUGAAUGGAUGGAUGGAUGGAUGAAUGGAUGGAUGAAUGGAUGGAUGGAUGGAUGAAUGGAUGGAUGGAUGGAUGAUGGAUGAAUGGAUGGAUGGAUGAAUGGAUAUGAAUGGAUCACUGAACUGCUAAUCCGAUCAGGCAGUAACUUAGUAUAUUUAAUCUCGUACAUACAGGGAGAUGUAUACAUAAAUGUAUAUGGUAUAUUUAAUUACAUUACAGGUUGAUAACCCUGGAGCAGUUUGAUAAGGAGAAUAUUUAGACGUGUUUUAUCUCCUGUGAUGAGCACAGUGUGAACACGCUGUGGUUGGUAAAGUCCAGUGGUGUGAUUGUGUAAUUAUACAUAGCCUAGCGUAGCACGUGGACAAGACACACGCGCAUCACAAGUCAAUUCAUUUUAUUUUGUAUAGCCCAAAAUCGCUAAUUAACCAUUUUUCUCAGAGGGCUUUAAACUCGCACAUGUACAUGCGACGUUGUUUUCUCCCAAAACCUUCACAUCAGCACACGAAGUAACCUCAGUGAGAACGUCAGAGGACCGAGUACAAAUCACAAUACAAUAUUCAACACACUGACUUUGGCUUCAUUUAAUGUCAUUUCUGAACAAAACACAGCUCGACCCAUGACAAUAUUCCUGUUAUUAGGAUCAAUAGUAGACAGUCAUCAUGCAUUGACUCAGGUAUAAAGUAUUUUAUGGUAGAGAUCAUUUGUAUAAUAUUAAUAGAUAACGAGUACGUGCAGUGAGUAGUCUGUGUUAUCAUCGGUUCAUAUUUCAUACUGCCUAGUACAAUAAAAGCUCGUUAUCACUUCCUGUUUCAUUAAAUAUAUCAAGUCACAUCCAGUCUCUGAACACGUUGUUCAGUACUGUAAUUCUGGUCCCAGAACAAUAAGGAGAAUAUAAGUGUUCCACUAAUUGACCCACGGCACAUUGACUGUGUUAUCUGGUUAUUAUUCCUUCUCCGAUCAUCGGUCUUGGACCCACAUGGGCGCACGGCUGUGUUUUCAAAGCCUCAUUCAGCGAGGGCUUACCUCGCCUCUCCUGAUUGGCCGGCGGUGAAUUGUUCUGCGAGGUGUGAACCCUGCUCACAUUCCUCUGUGACAUGUUCUGCUCUUUAGAGACGUGAUGUCAUCAGGUUUGGACACAAAGCAGAAACAAUCAUCAAUUAAUCAAUCAGUCAAUGGGAGACAGAUAUUGAUCAUGUCAAAAAAUGGAUGCUGUGUGACAGAAAAAAAAUCUUGCUGAUAUCGAUGGUGAUGAUGGUAAUGAUGAUGAUGAUGAGGGGUGGUAAUCUCUUGGCACCUCAUGAUUCGAUUCUAAACCGAUUGUCGAUUAUCAAUUCUAAAUCGAUAAAACGGUUAUUUAAAACAUUUGAGUUUGCUACUCAGAGUCUGAAUUCUGAGGUUGCUGCUCAGAGGUUGAUAAUCACUUCCUACUUGUUUGAUGAUUUUUAAAAAUCAACAGAUGAAUUACAUUCUCUAAUUUUUUGUAAGAGAAAAAAAAUCAAUAAUGCAAUAACCAUUUUAACACAAUAUGGAAGUAGCCUCUGUAAAGAAAUAUUGAACAGAUUAUUUUUUCUUUUAAAUUAUUAAAGAAAAAGCUGUUUGAAGUCUUAUUCUUACCAAUGAUAAGAAGUAGAAAGACUUCGGUAAUAACAGCAUAUCCAACCGCUAGAAAAAAGUUAUGCUACUUUAUUUCAACACAUUUCAACAUUACAUUCAAAAGUAAACCGAAAUAACAUAACGUAAAUGGAGGUAAAUUAAAUUAAAUUAAUUAAAUCUUGGCAGUGUACCAUGAAAGUGCCACAUAGUAACGGUCCUUAAUUUACAGUUAAUAACUGAAUAGCUCACGUAAUAGAAGUUCUAAAUAUCCUCAAUUCUUUACUUUAGUGACAUAUUGACGGAUUGUGGAGAGCCCCCACCCCCUCUCCAUAUUCAGCAGUCUUUUGAAGGGGGGCGUUCAAGGACAUUGAAGGUGGACUCGGGUUGUAGGGUUCAGGAAGGCCUCGAGGGAAGCCUGGCAGAAACCUCAAAGGUCUGGAUCCAAGGCAGACUCCAUGGAGGCCUCUCAGAGGUCACCUCUCGGGCCUCAAAGGUCACACCUCGCAUGCUAGCAUGUGAAUCUAAGGUGGUGAAUAUGUUGAACUUCUGCUGACCAUCAGCACGUUAGCAUUUAGUUCAAAGCAGCACUUCAACAGAGCAGGACCACGUAAAACAUACGAACAAAAGCUCAUAGUACAGUUUAGGGGGUGAGGGUUCACGGUCCAUAACCCCUCAACUGUAUUGAACUGUACUGGACCAUGACCCAUUCAGUCAUUUUUCAGGGCUGUGGUCCAUUGGUUUGACAUUUGUAGUAAAUUGGUCCCAAUAUAAGAGAUGUAGACAGUGUGCCAGUACGUUGGUCCUCAAUGAUCUGAACUAUGAAGUGUCAUUGACACACACACACACACACACUAAUUGGGUCCCUGUGGGACACUGCUCAUCAUUCAUGAAUUCAAGUUCUCCCUGAUGUCCUCUUCCUCUGACUCCACCAGACCCUAUGAGGUCAAAGGUUACCUCUGUGAGGAGGACCACCUGACACCUACCAUUAGGAGCUACAUCGAGAGCUUAUCUCCCUGUUAUCAACUACCUCAUGUCUUUCCACCAUCAACCAUGACAUAAUGAUCACGUAUUGAUUGUUGUCUGGUUCGUGCCGUCAUUGGGCUUAGUAUCUAUGGAGACACCGUAUGGAAAUAUCUACACUUGUUUAGGACUUUGGAGGGCGACCGGUCAGACCAUCAUGCGCUGCACACAACAGUUACCCCCAUGGUGUGGUGGGCUCUGCUUGUUUUUAGCAAAUUGAUCCUGGCAGUGCUGAUGAGGAGCGUUUGAUCGGUGCUGAAUCCUUCCUGGUCUCUUCUGACCAGCUGGAAGGACUGCUAGUGGUUGAAAGGAGGGAACAGGUUUCUUGCCCAUCUACUGCUGUAAAACACGUUUCCCGUUUGAAAGGAACCAGUCAAGGUGUUCACAUGUUUACUUCUGCUUUAUAUUAAUAUUUGCGUCAGAGUCUAUAGAAAAGAAUGUUCUGCAGGCUGCUGUGUGGUGAUCUCAGAGAACUUGACGAAGACCUGCAUGCUUCAACACGAGACCGACAGGCACAGCGAGGUGGGAGGAGCCGUCUGAGCCUCCAGGCUGAUGUUUUGUCAGGAAGCUUCUCUGUGAACACAAGCUGGUUCUUACUUGAGCCGUACGGAUUCUAUCUGCCGUCUUUAGACUCCACAGCUGCCUCCUCUCUGUUCCCCCUUGGUCCUCCUCCCUGUUGGUGUUUCGGUUGGAUUACUUCCGACGAGUGCUGAGAGGUGUUGGAGUCGUACUCUGGUCCCACUGCAGAGGAAGCAAGCUUGGAUACAAAGACAGCGUUCUGCAGAAUAGUCAAGCUGUUUGACAUUGCUGAACAUAUUGCUAAACACGAGAAACUACACAGAAAUAAAAAUAAAAUGGAAUGAGUCUGAUUUAUGUUUUCUGUUGGUUUUGGUUAAAAAAAGCUAAGAAAACACUGUAGACUCCUGCCUAAAAGGCUUAUUGCUGCCAUUUGAUGACAAAUGCAAAAAAUGCCACCAAUUUCUUAUAAAAUGUGCCUGGUUUUCGGUCAGUGGGGGCCUGAAUAAUAUGUAACGUCCCUGUGCCCCGACGCGGACAGCGAAAGCUAUUAUGUGCCGGACCCGGACGCUCCUAAUUUGAUGCUGUUUCCGGUCUUUUCUUUCGGCGAUCGCCCGUCAAACGUAGGUUAUGUUAAUUCAUACAAGUCAACAAAUCUACGUGUCAAAUCUCAUGAAUACAUUUAAAUAGUUACAUGUCUGCCUACUGCAGGAAAGUUACUGUGCUGAGAAAGUAGUAAGACUCACUGGGGCGACGAUGAAAGAGCUUUUAUUGCGCUAUUUGGAGGUGUUGAAGCGUACCGGCCCCUUAAUGGUGUCGUACUGGUCUCCUUCUGGACUCGUACCGGCCCCUUAAUGGUGUCGUACUGGUCUCCUUCUGGACUCGUACUGGUCCCUUAAUGGUGUCGUACUGGUCUCCUUCUGGACUCGUACUGGUCCCUUAAUGGUGUCGUACUGGUCUCCUUCUGGACUCGUACUGGUCCCUUAACGGUGUCGUACUGGUCUCCUUCUGGACUCGUACUGGUCCCUUAACGGUGUCGUACUGGUCUCCUUCUGGACUCGUACUGGUCCCUUAAUGGUGUCGUACUGGUCUCCUUCUGGACUCGUACUGGUCCCUUAAUGGUGUCGUACUGGUCUCCUUCUGGACUCGUACUGGUCCCUUAAUGGUGUCGUACUGGUCUCCUUCUGGACUCGUACUGGUCCCUUAAUGGUGUCGUACUGGUCUCCUUCUGGACUCGUACUGGUCCCUUAAUGGUGUCGUACUGGUCUCCUUCUGGACUCGUACUGGUCCCUUAAUGGUGUCGUACUGGUCUCCUUCUGGACUCGUACUGGUCCCUUAAUGGUGUCGUACUGGUCUCCUUCUGGACUCGUACUGGUCCCUUAAUGGUGUUGUACUGGUCUCCUUCUGGACUCGUACUGGUCCCUUAAUGGUGUUGUACUGGUCUCCUUCUGGACUCGUACUGGUCCUUUAAUGGUGUCGUACUGGUCUCCUUCUGGACUCGUACUGGUCCCUUAAUGGUGUAGUACUGGUCUCGUUAGUUGAUCAGUGAACCCGUAGAACAUCAAGAACAAGAUAUUACGACACCUCUAAUAGUAUUUCUUUGUUGAUUCUCACCUCCUUUAGUUCUUAUAUUUAAUUUGUUUCUACAUAGUCAGCUGAUACAUAAAUAAAUAAAUACAGCAGGUUGACCCUCUGUGACACAGAAGGCUGCCA
ensembl:lncRNA